rnacentral:lncRNA from 1 species
AUAUAUUAUAUAUUUCUUGCAUAGAGUAUUAGUUAGUGAUAGGUUGUUGAGUUUGAAAAUUAUUUAUUUCAAACUUUGAACUCAACAACAUAUUGUGAAAUUUUAUUUAUAAUCAUAAGAGAUUCCCCAAGAUAGUUAAGUUAUUUAAAAUAUUGCAUAUUUUGAUUGAAAUAACAUUUUUAGAAUCAUAUUUAAUUCCAGAAUGCAAAUCCAUUAAUUUU